rnacentral:rRNA from 1 species
UACGUAGGGGGCUAGCGUUGUCCGGAAUCAUUGGGCGUAAAGCGCGUGUAGGCGGCCCGGUAAGUCCGCUGUGAAAGUCCAGGGCUCAACCCUGGGAUGCCGGUGGAUACUGUCGGGCUCGAGUCCGGAAGAGGCGAGUGGAAUUCCUGGUGUAGCGGUGAAAUGCGCAGAUAUCAGGAGGAACACCAAUGGCGAAGGCAGCUCGCUGGGACGUGACUGACGCUGAGACGCGAAAGCGUGGGGAGCAAACA